UACGGGGGGGGCGAGCGUUGUUCGGAAUUACUGGGCGUAAAGGGUUUGUAGGUGGUCUGCUAAGUCAGACGUGAAAUCCCUCAGCUUAACUGGGGAACUGCGUCUGGUACUGGCGGACUUGAGGACAGGAGAGGAACGCGGAAUUCCAGGUGUAGCGGUGAAAUGCGUAGAUAUCUGGAGGAACACCGGUGGCGAAGGCGGCGACCUGGGUCGACACUGACGCUGAGGCGCGAAAGCGUGGGGAGCAAACAGG
rnacentral:rRNA from 1 species